rnacentral:rRNA from 1 species
GAGUCCCUACGGGGCGCAGCAGUAGGGAAUCUUCCACAAUGGACGAAAGUCUGAUGGAGCAACGCCGCGUGAGUGAAGAAGGCUUUCGGCUCGUAAAGCUCUGUUGGUAGUGAAGAAAGAUAGAGGUAGUAACUGGCCUUUAUUUGACGGUAAUUACUUAGAAAGUCACGGCUAACUACGUGCCAGCAGCCGCGGUAAUACGUAGGUGGCAAGCGUUGUCCGGAUUUAUUGG